rnacentral:misc_RNA from 1 species
GUGCCCGAAGCCGACGGCGGCGUCGAGUCCAAGAUCAUCACCAGGUCGUUCGAGUACCUCAUGUACGUGAACGUCGGCACGCCGCCGGCGCAGAUGCUCGCCAUCGCCGACACCGGCAGCGACCUCGUGUGGGUGAACUGCAGCAGCAACGGCGGCGGCGGCGGCGCCAGCGACGGCGCCGUCGUGUUCCACCCGUCCCGCUCGACGACGUACAGCCUCCUGAGCUGCCAGUCCGCCGCGUGCCAGGCGCUGAGCCAGGCGUCCUGCGACGCGGACUCCGAGUGCCAGUACCAGUACGCGUACGGCGACGGCUCGCGCACGAUCGGGGUGCUGUCGACCGAGACCUUCAGCUUCGCCGCCGCCGGCGGCGGCGGCGAGGGCCAGGUGCGCGUGCCCCGCGUCAGCUUCGGCUGCUCGACGGGCAGCGCCGGCAGCUUCCGCUCCGACGGGCUUGUGGGGCUCGGCGCCGGGGCCCUGUCCCUCGUGUCGCAGCUCGGCGCCGCGGCGCGCAUCGCUCGCAGGUUCUCCUACUGCCUCGUCCCGCCCUACGCCGCCGCCAACUCGUCCUCCACCCUCAGCUUCGGCGCCAGGGCCGUCGUGUCGGAUCCCGGCGCCGCGUCGACGCCGCUGGUGCCGUCGGAGGUGGACUCGUACUACACCGUCGCUCUGGAGUCCGUCGCGGUCGCCGGGCAGGAUGUGGCGUCGGCCAACAGCUCCCGCAUCAUCGUCGACUCCGGCACGACGCUCACGUUCCUCGACCCGGCGCUGCUGCGGCCGCUGGUGGCGGAGCUGGAGCGCCGGAUCAGGCUGCCGCGGGCCCAGCCGCCGGAGCAGCUGCUGCAGCUGUGCUACGACGUGCAGGGGAAGUCCCAGGCGGAGGACUUCGGCAUUCCGGACGUGACGCUGCGGUUCGGCGGUGGCGCCUCCGUCACGCUGCGGCCGGAGAACACCUUCUCGUUGCUGGAGGAGGGGACGCUGUGCCUUGUGCUGGUGCCCGUGUCGGAGUCACAGCCUGUGUCCAUCCUCGGGAACAUCGCGCAGCAGAACUUCCAUGUCGGGUACGACCUCGACGCGCGAACGGUCACCUUCGCCGCCGUCGACUGCACCCGCUCGUCGGCCUCCAGCUGACCGACAUGCGGACCCCUGUAAAAACAUGAGAAUAAGAUCAUUUGGUAUAAGAUGGAAAACUCUGUGAUCGUGGUUUGAGUUUACAUGUUAGCACCGAGAGAGAAAGGGC